GUGGGGAAUUUUGGACAAUGGGCGCAAGCCUGAUCCAGCAAUGCCGCGUGCAGGAAGAAGGCCUUCGGGUUGUAAACUGCUUUUGUACGGAACGAAACGGUCCGGGUUAAUACCCUGGGCUAAUGACGGUACCGUAAGAAUAAGCACCGGCUAACUACGUGCCAGCAGCCGCGGUAAUACGUAGGGUGCAAGCGUUAAUCGGAAUUACUGGGCGUAAAGCGUGCGCUGGCGGUUUUGUAAGACAGGCGUGAAAUCCCCGGGCUCAACCUGGGAAUUGCGCUUGUGACUGCAAGGCUGGAGUGCGGCAGAGGGGGAUGGAAUUCCGCGUGUAGCAGUGAAAUGCGUAGAUAUGCGGAGGAACACCGAUGGCGAAGGCAAUCCCCUGGGCCUGCACUGACGCUCAUGCACGAAAGCGUGGGGAGCAAACAGGAUUAGAUACCCGGGUAGUCC
rnacentral:rRNA from 1 species